CAUGCAAGUCGAACGCUUCUUUUUCCACCGGAGCUUGCUCCACCGGAAAAAGAGGAGUGGCGAACGGGUGAGUAACACGUGGGUAACCUGCCCAUCAGAAGGGGAUAACACUUGGAAACAGGUGCUAAUACCGUAUAACAAUCAAAACCGCAUGGUUUUGAUUUGAAAGGCGCUUUCGGGUGUCGCUGAUGGAUGGACCCGCGGUGCAUUAGCUAGUUGGUGAGGUAACGGCUCACCAAGGCCACGAUGCAUAGCCGACCUGAGAGGGUGAUCGGCCACAUUGGGACUGAGACACGGCCCAAACUCCUACGGGAGGCAGCAGUAGGGAAUCUUCGGCAAUGGACGAAAGUCUGACCGAGCAACGCCGCGUGAGUGAAGAAGGUUUUCGGAUCGUAAAACUCUGUUGUUAGAGAAGAACAAGGAUGAGAGUAACUGUUCAUCCCUUGAC
rnacentral:rRNA from 1 species